UACGGGGGGGCAAGCGUUGUUCGGAAUUACUGGGCGUAAAGGGCUCGUAGGUGGUCAACUAAGUCGGACGUGAAAUCCCUCGGCUUAACCGGGGAACUGCGUCCGAUACUGGAUGGCUUGAGAUUGGGAGAGGGAUGCGGAAUUCCAGGUGUAGCGGUGAAAUGCGUAGAUAUCUGGAGGAACACCGGUGGCGAAGGCGGGUUGCUGGGCUGACACUGACGCUGAUGGCGCGAAAGCGUAGGGGAGCGAACGGG
rnacentral:rRNA from 1 species